rnacentral:tRNA from 2 species
GGGCCCGUAGCUCAGUGGAUAGAGCAGGGGACUCCUAAGCCUCAGGUCGGGGGUUCGAUUCCCUCCGGGCCCGCCA